rnacentral:rRNA from 1 species
AUACGUAGGGGGCGAGCGUUGACCGGAAUGAUUGGGCGUAAAGGGCGCGUAGGCGGCCCGGUAAGUCUGGAGUGAAAGUCAUGUUUUUAAGAUGGGAAUUGCUUUGGAUACUGUCGGGCUUGAGUGCCGGAGAGGUAAGUUGAAUUCCUAGUGUAGCGGUGAAAUGCGUAGAGAUUGGGAGGAACACCAGUGGCGAAGGCGACUUACUGGACUGUAACUGACGCUGAGGCGCGAAAGUGUGGGGAGCAAACAGGAUUAGAUACCCUGGUAGUCCACACUGUAAACGAUGAAUGCUAGGUGUAGGGGGUAUCGACCCCUUCUGUGCCGCAGUCAACACAAUAAGCAUUCCGCCUGGGGAGUACGGCCGCAAGGUUGAAACUUAAAGGAAUGGACGGGG